rnacentral:rRNA from 1 species
CAGCCGCCGCGGUAAUACGAAGGGGGCUAGCGCUGUUCGGAUUUACUGGGCGUAAAGGGCGCGUAGGCGGACUGAUAAGUCAGGGGUGAAAUCCCAAGGCUCAACCUUGGAACUGCCUUUGAUACUGUUUGUCUUGAGUUCGAGAGAGGUAAGUGGAACUGCGAGUGUAGAGGUGAAAUUCGUAGAUAUUCGCAAGAACACCAGUGGCGAAGGCGGCUUACUGGCUCGAAACUGACGCUGAGGCGCGAAAGCGUGGGGAGCAAACAGGAUUAGAUACCCCUGUAGUCCCUGUCUCUUAUAU